CGGGGGCACGAGGCAGACUCCCCGCCGGCCAAGGCGCCAUCCGUCCAAGUUCUGC
rnacentral:ncRNA from 1 species